rnacentral:rRNA from 1 species
UACGAAGGGGGCGAGCGUUGUUCGGAUUUACUGGGCGUAAAGGGCGCGCAGGCGGUUUCAUUUUGUCAGGCCGUGAAAGCCCCGGGCUUAACCGUGGGAACUGCGUUUGAUACGGAUGGGCUAGAGUUCGGGAGAGGAGAGUGGAAUUCCCAGUGUAGAAGGUGAAAUUCGUAGAUAGUUGGGAAGAACACCGGUGGCGAAGGCGGCUCUCUGGACCGAUACUGACGCUGAGGCGCGAAAGCGUGGGGAGCAAACAGG